GACGAACGCUGGCGGCGUGCUUAACACAUGCAAGUCGAGCGGUAAGGCCCUUUCGGGGGUACACGAGCGGCGAACGGGUGAGUAACACGUGGGUGACCUGCCCUUAGCUCUGGGAUAAGCCUGGGAAACUGGGUCUAAUACCGGAUAUGACUCCAUGACGCAUGUUGUGGGGUGGAAAGCCUUGUGCGGCUAGGGAUGGGCCCGCGGCCUAUCAGCUUGUUGGUGGGGUGAUGGCCUACCAAGGCGACGACGGGUAGCCGGCCUGAGAGGGCGACCGGCCACACUGGGACUGAGACACGGCCCAGACUCCUACGGGAGGCAGCAGUGGGGAAUCUUGCGCAAUGGGCGAAAGCCUGACGCAGCGACGCCGCGUGGGGAUGACGGCC
rnacentral:rRNA from 1 species